rnacentral:tRNA from 2 species
GCGGUCAUGGCGGAAUGGCAGACGCGCUGCCUUGAGGGGGCAGUGAGAUUACUCUCGUGCAAGUUCAACUCUUGUUGACCGCA